UGUUCACCUAUUCUCUUCAUACAUUAAUAUGAUGAAGAGGAGCUUCCUCAGUGUCAUUUUGUAAACAUCUUGUGUCCCUUGAACUGGCUGGCUUGCUUUCAGCCUCAGUCAAAUGAAAGAUUUGCUUUUCUGUGUGUGCAGAACUGGAAGUCUUUUCUUUCUUUCUCCCUGGCAGAACCUGAAGCGUUGAACACCUCUCCACUACCACUGAUGUACUUCUGCUAAAAAUGAUGCUUGAGAAGUCGUCGAAAACAUACAUCAGAACAGAGGAGUUCACCACUCACAAGGGACCCACACAAGGAUAAUACCGAUGAUAACCUGCAUCCUCUUUAUAUGUGAAAAUGUCACCUUACAAAGGCAGGCAGGCAAAAUGGCAAGAAUCUGAAGAACCUAAGAGCCCUCUUACAGCACCAGAAACUCUUCCACCAGCAUGGCCCUCCUCCUAUCAUCACUAGGACACUUCUGACUAGUGGGGAAAGGGUGUUUGUCAAAGUACUAUCAAAAAAUUGACUGUACGUCUUUCCAGUGAUGCUACUAGUUAAAUCAUAUGUGUAUUUCCUGCUAAAACCCAAGACAAUUUCAGGUACAGAUUCCUAAAGGAAAAAAAAAAAAGUGCUAAUCUUGCAAUAGGAG
rnacentral:lncRNA from 1 species